GGAUAAUGUGCCUCUUUGCUGGGGAUACCGUUCCGAAAGGAACGUUAAUACCGAAUGUGCUCGUAUGGCGGCAUCGCCGAACGAGUAAACUGUUAGGGUGAAGAGAGCAAUCCGCGUUCUAUCAGCUAGUUGGUGAGGUAACGGCUCACCAAGGCUACGACGGAUAACUGGUCUGAGAGGAUGAUCAGUCACACUGGAACUGAGACACGGUCCAGACUCCUACGGGAGGCAGCAGUGAGGAAUCUUGCACAAUGGGCGAAAGCCUGAUGCAGCGACGCCGCGUGAGGGAUGAAGGCCUUCGGGUUGUAAACCUCUGUCAGUAGGGAAGAAGAAUGACGGUACCUACUGAGGAAGCUUCGGCUAACUACGUGCCAGCAGCCGCGGUAAGACGUAGGAAGCAAGCGUUGCCCGGAAUUACUGGGCGUAAAGAGCUCGUAGGCGGGGGCGUGCGUCCGAAAGGAAAUCUCAGGGCUCAACCCUGGGGCUUUUUCGGAUACGGCGCUUCUUGAGGGUGAGAGAGGAAAGCGGAAUUCCAGGU
rnacentral:rRNA from 1 species